CCAAUUGGCUUGGUCUAGAGAAGAGUUCUCACCUGCCUAUGAGCUAGGUUUAAUACAAAAAAAAAAAAAGCCUCACAGGUGUGCUGAAUCUUGACCUGAGAGUCACCAAUCCAUCUGUGGACCAGAUUCACCUAUAAGAGUCAAUUUUGUAAUUUUCCACUGAUCUAUCAUUGAGGCUAUUUCCCCGUCCCCUUCCACUAUGGCUGCUGCCCUCACUAGAUCCCUAAAAGUCUGGGUGCAAGAUACCUCUUUUGGUGCUCCAAUUUUGCCUUACAAUGGUCUCUUCUUCCUCUGCUCCUCUGCCUACAUGUGUCUACCUCACAAUUUUCUUUUAUUUUUCUGAUUAAUAUAAGAAGACAGGAGUAGGCUUCGGCUUACUUACUGCUGAAAAAGGAGGACUCUGCAUAUUUCCAAAUGAAGAAUGUAGUUUUUACCUAAAUCAAUCUGGCCUGGUAUAUGACAACAUACAAAAACUCAAGGAUAGAGCCCAAAACUCGCCAACCAGGCAAAUAAUUAUGCUGAACCCCCUUGGGCACUCUCUAAUUGGAUGUCCUGGCUCCUCCUAAUUCUUAGUCGCUUAAUACCUGUUUUUCUCCUUCUCUUAUUCUGACCUUGUG
rnacentral:lncRNA from 1 species